rnacentral:rRNA from 1 species
UACGUAAGUGGCGAGCGUUUAUCCGGAAUUACUGGGCGUAAAGCGUGUGUAGGCGGUUUAGUGUGUGGGAAUUGAAAGCCCGGGGCUCAACUCCGGAUCCGGUUCCCAAACUGCUAGACUCGAGAGUAUCAGAGGAGAGCGGAAUUCCCGGUGUAGCGGUAAUAUGCGUAGAUAUCGGGAGGAACACCAGUGGCGAAGGCGGCUCUCGUGGGGUAUUUCUGACGCUGAGACACGAAAGCCAGGGGAGCGAACGGG